UACGUAGGGGGCAAGCGUUUGUCCGGAAUCAUUGGGCGUAAAGCGCGUGUAGGCGGCCCGGUAAGUCCGCUGUGAAAGUCGGGGGCUCAACCCUCGAAUGCCGGUGGAUACUGUCGGGCUAGAGUGCGGAAGAGGCGAGUGGAAUUCCUGGUGUAGCGGUGGAAUGCGCAGAUAUCAGGAGGAACACCGGUGGCGAAGGCGGGUCUCUGGGCAGUGAACUGACGCUGGAGGAGCGAAAGCGUGGGGAGCGAACAGG
rnacentral:rRNA from 1 species